rnacentral:rRNA from 1 species
UUAGAGGNGAAUCCCAGGGCUCAACCCUGGAACUGCCUUUAAAACUGUUAGUCUUGAGAUCGAGAGAGGUGAGUGGAAUUCCAAGUGUAGAGGUGAAAUUCGUAGAUAUUUGGAGGAACACCAGUGGCGAAGGCGGCUCACUGGCUCGAUACUGAC